rnacentral:rRNA from 1 species
GACAGAGGGUGCAAACGUUGCUCGGAAUCACUGGGCGUAAAGGGCGUGUAGGCGGGAAGGUAAGUCAGAUGUGAAAUCCCUGGGCUCAACCCAGGAACUGCAUUUGAAACUCCCUUUCUUGAGUGUCGGAGAGGAAAGCGGAAUUCCUGGUGUAGAGGUGAAAUUCGUAGAUAUCAGGAGGAACACCGGUGGCGAAGGCGGCUUUCUGGACGACCACUGACGCUGAGACGCGAAAGCGUGGGGAGCGAUCCGG